rnacentral:rRNA from 1 species
GUCUACAGCCAUGUCACCCUGAACAAGCCUGAUGUCUGAUCUCAGAAGCUAAGCAGAGUUGGGCCUGGUUAGUACUUGGAUGGGAGAUCACCUAGAAAGAUCAGGUGCUGUAGGCC